AAAGUGUAUACACUGAAGAUAAAAGGUGCAGGUGGUUGUGUUCUACAUGACCAAUAUGACAAAGAACUUUGUACCAAACUCUAAAAAUCAUGCUAUUUUUAUUUAUAUUUUUUAAUUCUUUGCCAAUUUAUUUCAUCCUGAAUAAUUAUUUCUAAUUAAAUAUUUUCAAUCAAUGGCACCUCUGUGGAUAUAAAUUGCCCAUAUUGCCUCAAGUCGAAUGGUUCGAUAAAUGUCCUCCCGGUAGAACCUUCCCUCAGGGCCAUGGCCACUCCGGGUGUGGCCAAUCCAGUCAAAAUGGCGAUUUUCACUACCAGUAUCAAAAACCAUGCAUUUUGAUACCCAUAUUGCCCCAAGUCGUAUGGUUCGGUUAAUGUCCCCCCGGUGGAACCUUCUCCAGGGCACUGGCUACUCCGGGUGUGACCAAUCCUGUCAAAAUGGCCAUUUUCACUACCAGUAUCAAAAACCAUGAAUUUUGAUACCCAUAUUGCCCCAAGUCGAAUGGUUUGAUAAAUGUCCCCCCGGUAGAACCUUCUCCAGGGCACUGGCCACUCCGGGUGUGGCCAAUCCUGUCAAAAUGGCCAUUUUCACUACCAGUAUCAAAAACCAUGAAUUUUGAUACCCAUAUUGCCCCAAGUCGAAUGGAUCGAUAAAUGUCCCCCCGGUAGAACCUUCCCUCAGGGCCAUGGCCACCAACUUUCAUGAAAUUUUCUACUCUACAACUUUGCUUAAGACACCAAAGCCCUACAACGUCAACCAACAGAGUUAGUUUUUGGUUGACACCCUGGAAGAUCGUCACCCUAUAUGUCAAUAACUUCACAGACAACAGACGUAGCGGCUAGAACAAAAUAAUUUGAAAAUCGUGUGUAAAAACAUGGCUGCCGCAUCCUGCUAAUCUACUAGCGCCAUCUGUUAGCCUAUUGCCACUCUCUAAAGCAGCCAUGAUGGUUUUCUGAGAAGGUGUGUUUGAAAAUGCAUCACCCAGAAAUGUUUUAAAAAUAUAUUAUUUCAAUUUUUCGAAAUAAAAAUUAAAAAGGUAAAGAUUAUGUUUUUAUGCUAUAGUAAAUCUACUUUAAUUAUUAAUUAACACGAUUCACGAGCACAUGGAAGUUUUUUUUUCAUUUAAUUAUCGAUAUUAAAAAAAUUGUCUAGUCUGAUGCUUUUUUAAACACAGCAACCAAGGCCGCGCUUGAGGCUGUCAAAUUCUUGCUGGUUGUGUUUAUAAACAAAACCAACAGAGGUGAGCGAAAAGGAGGGAAGACCCGGUGGAAAUCGGGAGGAUGGGCAAGCGUUUCUUGGAGGAUAAAAGAUCCGUAACCAGAAACGAAACAAUCCGGAACUGUCGAAGAAGGAAAAACAGCAAGGUAUGACACGGUAAAGUCUGGAUGUCAUCGGCGCCGUCAGCAAGAGCUAUGAUCACGGCCAACCCCGUAAACGUUUUGGCCCCAAACGACCGCAUUCCGAAGAUUAUCUCCGGAACCGACAAACCAACUACCACGAUCAUUUCAACGCUCACCUUCAAGACAUCUUCAACGCCCUCGAAACCCACCCCACCUUCAAGUGCCGCCACUUCCGGCGAACCCUCGUCGCCAUACCAAAGGCCUGAAUCUUGAAUGUUCUCCCCGGCAUGUCAGAUUCCCCCACCGGAUUUCUAGUGCAAGCGAUCCUCAAACACCAGAACCAGAACAAACGAUUACAAACGUUGAAAACCAACAAAAUGUAAAAUGACAGUAGGCGGAAAGUGAUAUUUUGACAGCGGGCAAUGUGUCAGGGCAAAGCGACUGCAGCGCCACAAACGGAUUGCCACAACUAAAAAAUCUGUAGCGAUGAUUUACACAAGGGAAGAAUCGAGCCCAAACGUCUGUUGUCUGUGAUAACUUUAAAAGAUAGUCUUUAUCAAGUACAACAACUCUUCCGAAGAUACCAUUUGGCUAGGACGUCAAAUAAAGGAGUAAUCAAUUUAUUCCAUUGCCCUGGGGAAGGUUCUACCGGGGACAUUUAUCGAACCAUACGACUUGGGACAGUACCAAAAACCAUGAAUUUGGAUACCCAUAUCGCCCUCCCGGGAAAACCUUCCCGUAAUUUUUACUACCAGUAUCGAAAACCAUGAAUUUUGAUACCCAUAUUGCCCCAAGUCGUAUGGUUCGAUAAAUGUACCACAGAGUAAUCCAGAGGGAACACUGCCAUUUAAUUUAUAUGGUUGCGUUACGCGGUACAUCCCAGUCACGACGUUCUAGCAGGAUUCUAGCAGAGUUCUUACAAGGCUGGAUAUUCUUAGAGCAUUCUAGCAGAAAUGUUCCAUCGUUCUAGCAGGAUUCUGACAGAACCAGCUCUGCUAGAAUAUUUCGUGACUGGGAUCAUGGUACAUCCCCCCUUCAGAAAAACCCUUGCAUGAAGUGCAAAAUCUCAGCAAUCUUACACGGAGAGACCGGCCGGGGCAAAUAUAAGAAAAUCUUGGUAAAUUUAACAAAAAGUAUGGGUUAAUUUUUUACACAGCUUUUUUUCAACAAUCGAUUGUUGAUUUUGUUAACCCGAAAUUGCUGACCACCGGUAAUUAAAAUUAACUAAAAAAAAUACUUGGAAUUGCCAUUUUAGUUGGUUAAAUGGCCGAAAAAAAUUCUAGCAGUCGACUGCUAGAAUAUUUUUUUCAGAAAAUUAACUAAAAAUUUCUUGUUUUCAGCUGAAAUAUUGUGGAAUAUUCUGUUAAAAACUGGCUGGUAAAUGUUUUUCAACUAUUUUUCAACAUUUUUUUUCGUUGUAUCAACCGAAUUUUAUUUGCAUGCAGCAAGUUAUUAGUGUUUUAUAACAAAACAUUACUUAAUUAGACAUAAUUUAUGUAAGUGUUGAUAUAUUAUGAAUACAAAGAGACGAGUUGUUCCUUUUAAUUCCGCUAUAUAUUUUUAAUAUCUUGACAGAUACGUAUUUCGUCUACUACUUGCAGACUUCAUCAGUGUUCUGACUCGACAGUCGAGAACAGAACACUGAUGAAGUCUGCAAGUAUACACGGAGAGACCGUGCCCAGAAAUUUUAACAAUUAAAAUUGUUGAUUUUACUUUCGUUAAUUUUAACAAAAACGUACUUGUUACUGCCAAUAUUCCGUUAGAAUAACUAAAAUUUAGUAUUAAUUUAAUAACCUGUUUGUUGAAAAUGCUAGAGGCAAAAAGCUAACAGAUUUCCCGAACUCGAAUGAACGUGCUCGACUGUUAGCUUUGGUUUUAGGAAAAUAAAAAAAAUUGUUGAUUGAAUAUAAUUUACAUUUGGUUGAAUUUUUAAAAGAUGAACUUGGGUUUGUUUACGUCUGUCAUUUGAAGUCAGGAUUCGAACGAGAGCGGUCGAUUUGUUGAGUUUGUGUUGUUAAUUAUGAAGUGAGAGGAUGUGAAAGGUGAAACUUACACUAUUUAGCUAAUGUUGAAGUGGCACAUCAAAGUGUUGCAACUGGGGAGGUGGAAUUGGUGAGUAGGUUUGUUGAUGAUUUCUUUGCAGGUGAUAAACUAUGAAGAGCAAGAGGACGAUUUGCCAUGAGGACCUCCAAUGCGAGUGAGUUGAACAUGUUAGAAGAAUGUUUGAUGGAACGAGAGGGCAAUAGAAAGGAAAUGCGGGCCGACUCUUCACGGAUAGAGCAAAAAAAAAAAAAGCAAAGUAAUCCACUUUAACGACCCCCGGGUCUUUUGUGGUCUCUGUUGCAAGUUUCUGCUCAUUUCUAGGCGUCCGAAGGUUAUGUGUGGUGAGUCACUCAAAACCUCUUUUACGCAAAUGGACCGACGUUUUACUUCCCCAUCCGAUAGAAGGCGUGGUCAGGCAAAUCUCGUCUCGAAAAAUGCCACCGGGUCCGUCUGGGAUUGAACCCAGGCCAUACUGGGAUUCAGAGGCUACCACGCUAACCACUAAACCACCGGACCCGGUGGAUAGAGCAGCCCGUUAUGUUGCUUACACAUGGCAUUUUUAACAAAAUGUUGGAUAAUCCAAGUAAGUAUGGGUUUAUUUUUGCACAAUAAUUUAUCUAAUGUGAUUCUUAUUAGAAAACUGAAUCAUUAAAAAGCUUCGUGCUUACGACGGAUAAAAUCUUAAUGAACCAUUUUUUUCCAGAAUCAUCAAUUAUAAAAAACAUAGAAAUGCCAUGUGUAAGCAACAUAAACAACAUAAAAAAUAGAGAUGAAGUAAAAUAUAAAAAAAAUAAAAAUAUAUAAAAUAUAUAAAAGAAGAUAAUUAUUAUCUUGAAAGUUUUGUUGCAAUACGACUGCUCAAUAAACUGGUAAGUAAAACUCAAAAUAUUUUUUUCAGGAAUCGAAGUACGUUAAAUAAAUUGAAUCAAAUGCAAUGAAAGUUUGUUGCCAAAAGUAAUUGUUAAAUUCAGGGCCCCGGCGAUGGCCUGAAAAAAGCUACCGAACAACAUUGGCAAUAUGGCGGCGUUUGUUUAUAAACAUUGCGAAGUGUAAACACGAUUUUUUUCUUGAUUCAAAAGUAAUAAUAGUUUUAGUUGCUGCUGCUAAAUGUAAAAUGCGUUGUAUUUAUGUGGAAUUUUCGCAGAAUCACAAGAUACUGCCGGUGAUUGCGACUGCAGCAAGUCUUCUACUAGCAGGUAUGUUCUUUUGGUCGAUUGUUGAGUAUAUUAUGAGUACAUUGAAAAUAAAUCUUUGUAGCGCUGGUUUGCAGCAAAAAGUACCUGCUGGACGCGACAGAUCUCUGAUGCGGGAGCUGGAGAAUGUUCCUAAAAGCGAACGAGCCUGUGCAGUGCUGCGUCCACCGGACAAGGAAUGGUUUCGCUGGAGGAUUUGGAGCACGUUCUGGGCAAGUUGCCGCUGCGGAAGCUGGAGAAUGAGACAAACAGUGAACGGGCCGGGUCAAGAACGCCCCUGUUCGGUGCUGCUUCCAUCGGCCGAAGCAACGUUCCACUUGAAGAGCAGGAGAAUGAGACAAGAACGCCCUUGCACAGAGCUGCGCCCUCCGAACGAGGCAACGUUCCGCUGAAAGAGUUGAAUCACGUUCCGGGGAUGUUCCGUUGCGGAAGCUGGAGAAGUUGCAACACAAGAAUGUACUUAUUUCAAGAAAAUUAAAACUGUAAAAGAUAAUAGUUUGUCUACGUUUUUUUUCAAACAUUCGCUCCGAAUAUACGUAUUUCGAACAACAAGAAAUCAUUGCAAAGCUACAUAGUUUUGAAGCGAAUCCGACUACAACUCCCGCUUCUGGAGAUUUACGACUCCAGCACUCCAAAAAGAUCCGACUUAGAAACCUACUCUGACUCCAACAACAGCGUCCAUACAAAAUUGACAAAAAGUAAGCCUACUAUGGCUCCGACUGCAGAUAAUUUAGCGAUUUUGACUCCAGCUUCUCAGAAUUCAUCGAUUCCAACUCCAACGCACCAAAAAGACCCGAUUCCACCGGUUCCAACCCCUUAGCACUGAUAUAUUUAUUUUAGGCAAUAAAAUACAAAAUAAGUUUUCCAAAAAGUGUAUUAAAUGAUGAAUGCCUCCCAAAUUCAGACAAAACAAAAUUUAAUUAUUGAAUUUAUACUGGUAUAACGCUACCAAACUAUAAUAGCAAUUUAUUAUAAUGUUAAAUUCGAAUAAAAACACUUUUUAAAAGUAAUUUCCAUAAAAAGGCACAAGUUGACAAAUUAGCAAAUUACCCCGAAUCAGUAUUUAUGAUGUGCGAUAUUAGGGUAAUUCAUCCGUUCCAGACUGUCAAAAUUCCAAAACGUCAACGCGUCCACCGCCAUUCUUCGGUACGCAGCUUUUGUUCCUGUAUGACGUUUCGAGGCGAGGCCCUGGUUAAAUUAAUGCGAAAAAAUUGCUAGAGACAUUCGACUGUGGUGAAAUGUUUUUACUGUGGGAUUGUGAAAUAUGACCAGCCAGACUUGCCUCAACUGCAUCCAGAUUCCAUAAUUUGGACCAACAGAUGCAUCAGAGGAGCAGCAGUUGCAGCGGCACCAGACCGCAGCGCCACCGAGGAGCAGGUUGACAUCGAAGAUACUUGUAUAUGUGUGGCGUUCGCAGUCGCUCUGCAAGUUCUUGCUUGUGUUGGUGCUGACGUGGAAGAGCUUUAUUUCUGGUGAGUACGUUCCAGCUAAUGCGCGUGUGUGCGUGUACUGAAAUGUGAGUAAAUUUCAACUUGUUUUUAACCCUCCAACGCCCAUGGUUGCUCUUAUUGACCAACAUAUAACAUCUGAAUAACUUUGAAAUUAUUCAACAUUACUAUUGUUUUUUUUGCAAGGGUCCUUAAAGCUCUGGGUUUCCUAAUAUUUCUGGGGCAUUUUCAAAUUAAUCUCUAGAUUAUGUUGUUAAUUUUAUAAUAAGUGGCUAACGUUGAAAAUCUCGAUUAUGCUCUGUGUGUUGCAUCUCGUAAAAUAACAUGUGUAAUUUUGUUUUGAUAAAAUCCACUCAUAUUUUAUUUAUCCACAGAAAGCGAGUUGUGGCGCUAUAACCAUGGCAAAAGUGUCCAGGGCAUUGUGGAAAUACAAUGUCCCAUCCCCGAGGGUCCCGGAGCACCAAAACUUCUUAGCAUGGUGCUCCCAACGAUUAAUUGCUAUAACUAAUAGGAACGUGAGCGGGGGAUCCCCACGUUUCUUCCUCCCCUGUAGAUUCAGAAAUGCAUUGCUGUUUGAACACUCGUGCUCAAACUCAAUCCAAUUCAACGAAUCAUCUUUGCGGUUAACUUUACGCAGUUGGUCUGGCCGCUUCGACGUUUGUGAUGUUUCAAUGCAUGUUAAUGCAAUGGCGCAUUGCAAAUGUUGAUAAUGACAAGAAGAUGCUAGGCGUCAAUCAACCUAAGGCAUUCUCCAGGAUGCCCUCGAAAGACUGGCUGCGCUAGGGUUAGAUUAGAUUAGAUUAGAUUAAAAGUAAUUGUUAAAUUAAUGCAACUUUGGUAAGUAGCAUUAUUGAUAUUUCUUCUUUCCUCAAUAUAAUUUCAUUUAUUUACGUUCCUUUUUUCAGUUUAUAGCCGAAAUUAAGAAUUUUGUAUUAAAUUACUAAUACAUUUCACAUGUCUAUUUGCAGCAAAAGGUUCACUUUAGUGAAAAUUCUGUUUCCAACCACAAGAAAAAUAACUAAACCUGAGAACAUUGUAGAUGACUUAUCGGAUGAUUUCACAGUGAUGGUAAGUGGAUACAACACUUAAUUUUAUACAACAUAAUAAAAAUAUAAGCUUAAAACUUGGUGAAAAUUUUGCUCGAUUUCUAUUUUUCAGGAAUUCAUGUCAAAUUAAACAUCUUUUUUAAAUAUGUUUAACAAAAUUUGUAAUAUGCUUUUUCAUUAUUUUUAGUUUAAUACAACGUAAUUUUUUAAAACAUUAAUCAAACUUUACAUGUUUUAUAACAACAGUUAAAAAAAAGUUUUGUUUUGAUGCUUUUAACAGUAACUUAACAAGUUCAUGCAAAAAAAAAACAAAUUAGUACAAAACGUUAAAUUUUUAGGCAGAAUAAAUGCGAAAAUAAAAACACUCAGCAUUGAUUUGUGAGGCAUUAUUACAAAAUUUACUGCAAAUUCAAUAAAAAUAUCGCUAACAACUGCUAGUUAUUGACUACAUGUACGAAUAUUUUUCUGAAUUCAAGUAAGACAAUAGUUAAAAUAUAGCUAGAAAUUCGGCCCAGCCUAUCCCAGUCACGAAAUAUUCUAGCAGAGCUGGUUCUGUCAGAAUCCUGCUAGAACGGUCGAACAUUUCUGCUAGAAUGCUCUAAGAAUAUCCAGCUCUCUAAGAAUUCUGCUAGAAUCCUGCUAGAACGUCGUGACUGGGAUAUCGUUAGAUAAUUAAAGAAAAUAUAUAUCAACAUUGUGGUUUGGUUGAGCGUUUUAGCAGAAUGCAUUACUACACUGAAGAUAAAAAUUACGACCAAAAUGUGUCGAUCCGACACACUGUAUGUGUAAACCGGGUUGUUUUUAAAUCGAUGUGUGGCUUUUACACAUCGCGAUGGUUUUUGAUCGAAAAUCCAUCCAAUGUGUAAAUUCCUUUUCGCCUGCUUCGCCAAAGUUGCCGGUGGGUGUCGCCACAAGUCUUGGACUUUGACGUGUAGCGAAGAGUGAAAAAAAACACGUUGGUUUUUACUGUUUGCAUUUUUGGUAAGUUUAUUUGCAUUUUACAAGCUUUUCUUUGGCUGUUUGAGCUGAAAAAUUAAUCAAUUGUUUACCCUCAGCCUCGUCAUGAUUCUUCCGGCCAAGACAGCGUGACCUCCACCGAGUCGGUGCCCAUCACCUGCCCAUUUUUCCUCCAGCUCGACGUCACCAGCCGGACAUGAAUUCGACUGAAUAGUCCGUUCGCCGCGGAAUCUGGACCGCGUUGCUUAGGGUUGUUCAACAGGAGCGCCCUUACCCGGGAAGCCGACCUGCUUUGGAUGUUGGACGGUACGGCUACGAACCAGAUCUGUAAGGCCGGCAGUUGCGGGUUGCGUUUCCAUACCCGCUCACUUCCGGCGUUUUGAAGGAGGAACUGCUUGAAGAGAUGUUUGCGAUCAGCUGAGCAAAAUUUGAUAUUUAAUAUCAAGAAGAUCCCAGCUUGGUCAGAAUCUGCCGCUGGGCUAAAUCUGUUCGCUGCUGAUAACAAUCAAACUGCUUACAAGCAGCGCAAUCCGGAUAAACAAUCCCACCAUGUCCGGGUGCUCCUUCUUUUUGGCCACUAGACCACAUUUUUUUCAGGAUGUUAGGAACUCCUUGUUCCAACAGUGGACUUUUCCAGUGUCCAGUUUGAAUGCAGCUACUUCCCCUAUAGACGCAGGUUCUCCGGUCCUGUUAAAGAGCAAACUGGGCGUGAAAAACAGUUGAGGCAAACCUCCUCUUCCGUUUGUCUCUCAUCAUCGUAGCAGCAGGAAAAAAUCAAGCUCCCAGCUUUGAGCUCCGCCAAAAUGUCUGGCCACAAUCCACCCCACGGGGGGCUCGGUCAGGUGAACUCGACCUGGAAUCCGCGGCAAGUGCCUUCGUAAAUUCUGCGACAGCCCCAGUUGGCGCACAAGUCGAGCGAGCGGUAAAUGGUGCGGUCACCGCUCACGUGGCACACUCCGCCCAACCACCAGGACCAGCUGUACAUCAUCCGCAAUCCACAAGAAGAUUCUUGAAAUCAACCCAAUACUGCCAACGUUUGGUCAUAAUUCCGACAUGCUGGGUUGGUUCGAUCAAUCCCUGUCGUCGGCCGCACGGAAUACGACAGAUCUGCCGUAAAACAUUCCUCCAGUCAUGAGCCGCGGCGGUGGUCCUCCAGCGAUGCCCGACCAGAACGAUCAUUCCACCAAAAAAAAAAAAUGCCGGUCAGCAGUUCUACCAACAACACGGUCAACUCCAGCAACAUUAACACAUCAAUGCGAACCAAAAUCGGUCGGGACCGUCGAGUCAAAUCAGGCGUUAACCAAUCAACCGCAGCUCAUAAAGACCGUUCCGGAUAUGGUCCCCACAACAAGGACGGUGCCGGCUCAGCUCCGUCGUGUAGCUGCAACUAAAUCGGCGCUUCAAACCGAAAGCCGCAAGUAUUAACAACCCAGCACCAGGGGUACAGCGGCCGGAGGAUUGCACAACUUGUCGCCGAAAGGACCGAUCGGAGAGGGUGACGACAUUAGCGGGCUGCACAUCAAGGAUCGCGUCAACUUGUCGCCCACCAAAACCUCCAGUGCGCCUUCAAGAACAUCACAUCUAAUGUAGAAUCCGCUGGCCAUGGACAAGCUUUUCCGAGUUUCCCUGUUUGGGCAACGUCCCGCGGACACGACGGAUGCAGAACAGCGCGAGAUGAACAUCUUUUGGCGAACCACGCUGACGGGUUGCGAGAUCGUGAUCGAGAAGUGAUUCUGCAAAAGGCCGCUGAAGAAAGACGCUAUCCAACUGAAUGCGGCCAAGUUCCUCGGAACGCUCGCAGCCAUCGGGGACAAAACAACAAGCGACCAGUCACAGACCAGUUGAUGGACCACUACAUUUACUUUUGAAGAUUAACAACGAUUAUGAAUUUAAGUGUAGUUGGAACAGUAGAAGAUUUAUUGUAUAUUACGUAAUGUUGUGAAAUAAAAAAAAUCUGUAUUUUUUAAUUUGAAAGUAAUCAAUAAAAAUAAAGAACUUUUUCUAUUCACUAACAGAUGGCAGCACAGUAUUCCCGCUAUUCGAUAGCUUCCCAUUUUUGCCACCAGGGGGCUUCUGCCGAAUCAAAAUUUACACAUUGGAUGCGUUUCUGCCCAGAAUCCAGCCAAUGUGUUCCGGGCUGUUUACACGGCACGGUGGUCCAAGCGUGGUCUUGUGCGAAAAUGGUUGGAUUCAACGCUUUUUGGUGUAAUUCUGAUCUUCAGUGUAU